AGAAAUGCAGGAUUAUUGGUCUUUCGUUUUAUGAUUGAGCCAUCGAUUUCGCGUUAAGUCGUUUACCUCAGUCAAGGUAGUGCCGUGCCUAGUCUAGUCUACCUGGACCAGACCUGGCGUGCACCAAGCUUUGUGACAUCACCCACAGUAAACGUACGUGCAACACUUUUACUCUUUAUUGUUUUGUCAAUUUAAAAAAAAAAAAUCGUGCUAGUAAAAGAUUGGCAUUUCACGAGAUGCGCCUGUAUUUCACGACAAAUACCGUGAAUGAAACAAAAUUACAGGACGCAUCUCUGUCACGUUUCAGGCUGCCGUCGAGGGCGGGCACAGUUUUGUAAGGUGCACCGGAAGGAAGUUCAUCGUACCUUAUAAAAUUUAUUAUCUUUUUGUCCGACAAUGAAUUCGUCGCGUGCAUGACAGGUCCAUUUUUCCAUCAUUUUCAUCAAGCUUUUCCUAGAUCUAGCUUUUGUAGAGCACUAGUGCUAAGUAGUCAUUUUCAGUCCCGCACCAUUUUCCACAAGCCGUACAGAAACUUGCAGAUUUCAUGCAAGACCAUGCCUGGGCUUGGACGCUUGCGCGCACUAGUCACGGCAUCUUUUACUCCAACCGCCGAUCACAAUAAUUCAGCACGCCUCCAGGGAGCAACGUAAAAAGAGUUCUUCCAAAAAAUUUACAUGGUCAGGCCGGGACUAUUCAUGGUGCGAGUGAUCUGAACCGAAAAUUGUACUGCAUGGUCCCAGAAAUCUUGAUGUAAUCUUGAGACG
rnacentral:lncRNA from 1 species